CCUGCCGAAUCAACUAGCCC
rnacentral:snRNA from 1 species